AACACCGCCUUCAUUUUCUGCAAGGCCCGUCUCUCCGAGGAAUGCAUCUCAUCAGAGGAUCACUUCUCCGAGGAAUGCAUCUAAGAGGAUCACCUCUCCUAGGGUUGCUUCUCCAAGGGUCACCUCACCUAGGGCUGCUACUCCAAGGGCUGCUUCCCCUAGAGUUUAUCGUCCCAGACCAGAACCAACUUUAAGAAACCAUCACCUUUCCGCCACCAAGAUCCAGGCAGCGUAUAGAGGUUAUGCGGUAAGCUUCUAACUUGUUGGAUUUUUGGGAAAAAAUGUCCCAUAAAAGGUUAAUCAUGGACUUUCGUGCCUGAUUUAUAUUUUCAUAGAGAAAACAAAUCUUAUUGUUUA
rnacentral:lncRNA from 1 species